GACGAACGCUGGCGGCGUGCCUAAUACAUGCAAGUCGAACGCUUCUUUCCUCCCGAGUGCUUGCACUCAAUUGGAAAGAGGAGUGGCGGACGGGUGAGUAACACGUGGGUAUCCUACCCAUCAGAGGGGGAUAACACUUGGAAACAGGUGCUAAUACCGCAUAACAGUUUAUGCCGCAUGGCAUAAGAGUGAAAGGCGCUUUCGGGUGUCGCUGAUGGAUGGACCCGCGGUGCAUUAGCUAGUUGGUGAGGUAACGGCUCACCAAGGCCACGAUGCAUAGCCGACCUGUGAGGGUGAUCGGCCACACUGGGACUGAGACACGGCCCAGACUCCUACGGGAGGCAGCAGUAGGGAAUCUUCGGCAAUGGACGAAAGUCUGACCGAGCAACGCCGCGUGAGUGAAGAAGGUUUUCGGAUCGUAAAACUCUGUUGUUAGAGAAGAACAAGGACGUUAGUAACUGAACGUCCCCUGACGGUAUCUAACCAGAAAGCCACGGCUAACUACGUG
rnacentral:rRNA from 1 species